rnacentral:rRNA from 1 species
UGAGGAAUAUUGGACAAUGGGUGAGAGCCUGAUCCAGCCAUCCCGCGUGAAGGACGACGGCCCUAUGGGUUGUAAACUUCUUUUGUAUAGGGAUAAACCUACUCUCGUGAGAGUAGCUGAAGGUACUAUACGAAUAAGCACCGGCUAACUCCGUGCCAGCAGCCGCGGUAAUACGGAGGGUGCAAGCGUUAUCCGGAUUUAUUGGGUUUAAAGGGUCCGUAGGCUGAUUUGUAAGUCAGUGGUGAAAUCUCACAGCUCAACUGUGAAACUGCCAUUGAUACUGCAAGUCUUGAGUGUUGUUGAAGUAGCUGGAAUAAGUAGUGUAGCGGUGAAAUGCAUAGAUAUUACUUAGAACACCAAUUGCGAAGGCAGGUUACUAAGCAACAACUGACGCUGAUGG